AUUGAACGCUGGCGGCAGGCUUAACACAUGCGAGUCGAGCGGGGUGAUGGUGCUUGCACUAUCACUUAGCGGCGGACGGGUGAGUAAUGCUUAGGAAUCUGCCUAUUAGUGGGGGGCAACAUCUCGACAGGGAUGCUAAUACCGCAUACGUCCUACGGGAGAAAGCAGGGGAUCACUGGUGACCUUGCGCUAAUAGAUGAGCCUAAGUCGGAUUAGCUAGUUGGUGGGGUAAAGGCCUGCCAAGGCGACGAUCUGUAGCGGGUCUGAGAGGAUGAUCCGCCACACUGGGAAUGAAACACGGCCCAGACUCCUACGGGGGGCAGCAGUGGGGAAUAUUGGACAAUGGGGGGAACCCUGAUCCAGCCAUGCCGCGUGUGUGAAGAAGGCCUUAUGGUUGUAAAGCACUUUAAGCGAGGAGGAGGCUCUUUUGGUUAAUACCCAAGAUGAGUGGACGUUACUCGCAGAAUAAGCACCGGCUAACUCUGUGCCAGCCGCCGCAGUAA
rnacentral:rRNA from 1 species